AUUGAACGCUGGCGGCAGGCCUAACACAUGCAAGUCGAGCGGCAGCGACUUAACUGAACCUUCGGGGAACGUUAAGGGCGGCGAGCGGCGGACGGGUGAGUAAUGCCUGGGAAUAUGCCCUGAUGUGGGGGAUAACUAUUGGAAACGAUAGCUAAUACCGCAUAAUCUCUUCGGAGCAAAGAGGGGGACCUUCGGGCCUCUCGCGUCAGGAUUAGCCCAGGUGGGAUUAGCUUGUUGGUGAGGUAAUGGCUCACCAAGGCAACGAUCCCUAGCUGGUCUGAGAGGAUGAUCAGCCACACUGGAACUGAGACACGGUCCAGACUCCUACGGGAGGCAGCAGUGGGGAAUAUUGCACAAUGGGGGAAACCCUGAUGCAGCCAUGCCGCGUGUGUGAAGAAGGCCUUCGGGUUGUAAAGCACUUUCAGUAGGGAGGAAGGUAGUGUAGUUAGCACCUGCAUUAUUUGACGUUACCUACAGAAGAAGCACCGGCUAACUCCGUGCCAGCAGCCGCGGUAAUACGGAGGGUGCGAGCGUUAAUCGGAAUUACUGGGCGUAAAGCGCAUGCAGGCGGCCUGUUAAGUCAGAUGUGAAAGCCCGGGGCUUAACCUCGGAAUUGCAUUUGAAACUGGCAGGCUAGAGUCUUGUAGAGGGGGGUAGAAUUUCAGGUGUAGCGGUGAAAUGCGUAGAGAUCUGAAGGAAUACCAGUGGCGAAGCGGCCCCCUGGACAAAGACUGACGCUCAGAUGCGAAAGCGUGGGGAGCAAACAGG
rnacentral:rRNA from 1 species